AUUGAACGCUGGCGGCAGGCCUAACACAUGCAAGUCGAACGGUAACAGGAAGCAGCUUGCUGCUUUGCUGACGAGUGGCGGACGGGUGAGUAAUGUCUGGGAAACUGCCUGAUGGAGGGGGAUAACUACUGGAAACGGUAGCUAAUACCGCAUAACGUCGCAAGACCAAAGAGGGGGACCUUCGGGCCUCUUGCCAUCGGAUGUGCCCAGAUGGGAUUAGCUAGUAGGUGGGGUAACGGCUCACCUAGGCGACGAUCCCUAGCUGGUCUGAGAGGAUGACCAGCCACACUGGAACUGAGACACGGUCCAGACUCCUACGGGGGGCAGCAGUGGGGAAUAUUGCACAAGGGGCGCAAGCCUGAUGCAGCCAUGCCGCGUGUAUGAAGAAGGCCUUCGGGUUGUAAAGUACUUUCAGCGGGGAGGAAGGGAGUAAAGUUAAUACCUUUGCUCAGUGACGUUACCCGCAGAAGAAGCACCGGCUAACUCCG
rnacentral:rRNA from 1 species